rnacentral:rRNA from 1 species
ACGGGAGGCAGCAGUGAGGAAUAUUGGUCAGUGGACGGAAGUCUGAACCAGCCAAGUAGCGUGAGGGAUGACGGCCCUAUGGGUUGUAAACCUCUUUUGUGAGGGAAUAAAGUGCGCCACGUGUGGUGUAUUGCAUGUACCUUACGAAUAAGGAUCGGCUAACUCCGUGCCAGCAGCCGCGGUAAUACGGAGGAUCCGAGCGUUAUCCGGAUUUAUUGGGUUUAAAGGGAGCGUAGGCGGAAGGUCAAGUCAGCUGUGAAAUGUAGUCGCUCAACGUCUGCACUGCAGUUGAAACUGGCCUCCUUGAGUGCGUAAGAGGCAGGUGGAAUUCGUCGUGUAGCGGUGAAAUGCUUAGAUAUGACGAAGAACUCCGAUUGCGAAGGCAGCCUUCUGGAGUGCGAUUGACGCUGAGGCUCGAAAGCGCGGGUAUCAAACAGGAUUAGAUACCCUGGUA